CCUACGGGAGGCAGCAGUAGGGAAUCUUCCGCAAUGGACGAAAGUCUGACGGAGCAACGCCGCGUGAACGAUGAAGGCCUUCGGGUCGUAAAGUUCUGUUGUUAGGGAAGAACAAGUGCUAGUUAAAUAAGCUGGCACCUUGACGGUACCUAACCAGAAAGCCACGGCUAACUACGUGCCAGCAGCCGCGGUAAUACGUAGGUGGCAAGCGUUGUCCGGAAUUAUUGGGCGUAAAGCGCGCGCAGGCGGUUUCUUAAGUCUGAUGUGAAAGCCCCCGGCUCAACCGGGGAGGGUCAUUGGAAACUGGGAAACUUGAGUGCAGAAGAGGAAAGUGGAAUUCCAAGUGUAGCGGUGAAAUGCGUAGAGAUUUGGAGGAACACCAGUGGCGAAGGCGACUUUCUGGUCUGUAACUGACGCUGAGGCGCGAAAGCGUGGGGAGCAAACAGGAUUAGAUACCCUGGUAGUCCACGCUGUAAACGAUGAGUGCUAAGUGUUAGAGGGUUUCCGCCCUUUAGUGCUGAAGUUAACGCAUUAAGCACUCCGCCUGGGGAGUACGGUCGCAAGACUGAAACUCAAAGGAAUUGACGGGGGCCCGCACAAGUGGUGGAGCAUGUGGUUUAAUUCGAAGCAACGCGAAGAACCUUAC
rnacentral:rRNA from 1 species